AGUGUUGGUUGCACCUGUCAGAACUGUUGGUUUAUCGGUUUGGUGUUUUUGUUCGUGUAUUCAUUCUGGAUUAAAAGUAUUAUGGAUACGCGCUGCACUUUGGUCCUCCGCUCCUUCCACCAACAAAAAUACUUACAAUCAUUGAAUUACUUCAACUUUGUCAACAGAAAAGGUUUCCAAUCUUUCAAUGUGCAGGUCAUCUGUGAGUCACAUUUGGCUUUGUUGAAUGUAGCGACCAAAUGGCCAGGUGGGACACAUGAUUCACUCAUUGUGCAGAACUGUUCAGUCGGCCUUAACCUCCAAGAAGGAGCUGUUGAGGAUGGAUGGCUUAUUGGAGACCCGGAGCUAGCCAUGAAAAACAUGGCUGACUCUCCUCACAAACCCCUCAAACCAACGAGGCAAGGUACCACCAAGCCCAGGGACGCACAAGAACAACAGUGGAGUGCACCAUAGGCCUGCUGAAAGGGUGUUGGCUGUGCUUGUCUGGGACAGGAGGCACACUGCGAUGCAAACUCCGCAAGGUUUGCUACAUUGUCAAGGCUUGCAGUGUGCUCCACAAUGUUGCAAUCAAAAAUGACAUUGCACUGAAUGAUCCACCCAGACCCGAUGAGCCCAUGCCUGACAGGGAGUGUUUCCCACCACCCAUAGCUCUGGCACUGAGGACCAGAGUCAAUAUCAUACAAGUUUUAGUUAUCUGUUCUUCCAAAUAUUGCAAUUAAAGUAACAAGGAAAACAUUUACAUUGCACCAGAAUUUGUCUCAUGUUUGACACAAUCAACAACUUUUUUCAAUGAUUGAUUUAUCUCAGGCCAAUGCAUACAUCCUCCAGCUGCUGUUUAAGUCCAAGAAUCUCUUGUUUCAGGACUGCGCCAGUCAAAACAUGCGGUGCAGCUGAAGCGCUCGCCAAAGAGGAAACCUUCUUGUAGGACUGGGGAUGGCUAAGGGGUCAGGCAAAUCACCCACGUCUAAAGAUUUCUUUUUUUUUUCUCCUUUUUUU